GCCCAGGUACAUAUCCACUGUGUUAAAGACAGGCUCUGCAGAGUUGGUCUCUGACAUAGACCGUUAGAAUGACAUGGUUAGCCACAUCCGUGCAUUCAUCGGGCGUAAUGGCCAUUUGCAAUAAUGCUCUCUGAUGUCUGGCGCUUUAUGUUCUCAGACGUGUCCUGGAUUCUCGUCAUGGUGUCUCGUGGUGUCAUGGAUUGGGGCAUGGUUUUAAGUUUGUUGGCGGCUAACUCUCCCAAGAUUUCAAUGCACAUAUUAUUCGCAGCAGGGAGUAUGAGAUUCUCAGCGCUGGUGUGGGCUUUUUUUGCACAUAGCAUUGCGCUGGGCCACAAGAAUUUGGCAGUACGUCCAACCGGUCUCACAACUGCAGACCUAGCGGGCAUCAUGUGGAGAUAAAUGAGUUGAUGAUCAUCAGUGAGCUGGGUUCUAACAGACAGCCAGAGACGGUGAGCAAGAUCUUUUCCGCUAUGCAGAAGAUCCUGUGCAUGGGAGGUCCGUUUGACUUGACAUCGAGAAGAAUGCUUUCAGCCAACAACAAACCAUCGCCGACCGUAUCAUUAAGGAGAUGGACAUCUUCCCAGCGAAAAAGGGAUGACGCUCCAAAGGAGAAGAAGUCACAAUGUUUCUGCUGUUACAGUUGUAUCUUGAUAUUUUUCAGAUAUUUGCUUAUGCCGGUAAAGGUCCACAUUCCAAUGGUUAAAGUCAGUAUCACUUCAUACCUAGCCUGAUCCCAGAUCUGUUUGUGCUCUUGACAAACCCAUUGCUCAUUGGCGUGACAAUGUGACAAGGAGUUGGCAUGACAACACAACCAGACUGGCACUCAGGCUACUUCAAACCCAUUGUGAACCAACAGUCUUGUGUUGAUGUCAGAGUUUACAAUGCCAAGCAGCCGCAUGUCUUCAAUCCACAAGGGGCAUUAUAUAAAAACUUGAAUUGUGUGUUUCCAUACUUAAUGUUCAUGGUUUUCCCAUGUGUAUUAAUGUGUAGGCCUACUGGUAUGUCACGUUCUGACCUUAGUUCCUUUAUUAUGUCUUUGUUU